rnacentral:rRNA from 1 species
UACGAAGGGGGCUAGCGUUGCUCGGAAUCACUGGGCGUAAAGGGCGCGUAGGCGGCCAUUCAAGUCGGAGGUGAAAGCCCAGGGCUCAACCCUGGAAUUGCCUUCGAUACUGUAUGGCUCGAGACCGGAAGAGGUAAGUGGAACUGCGAGUGUAGAGGUGAAAUUCGUAGAUAUUCGCAAGAACACCAGUGGCGAAGGCGGCUUACUGGUCCGGUUCUGACGCUGAGGCGCGAAAGCGUGGGGAGCAAACAGG